UACGUAGGGGGCUAGCGUUGUCCGGAAUCAUUGGGCGUAAAGCGCGCGUAGGCGGCCCGGUAAGUCCGCUGUGAAAGUCAAAGGCUCAACCUUUGAAUGUCAGCGGAUACUGCCGGGCUAGAGUCCGGAAGAGGCGAGUGGAAUUCCUGGUGUAGCGGUGGAAUGCGUAGAUAUCAGGAGGAACACCAGUGGCGAAGGCGGCUCACUGGCCCGGUACUGACGCUGAGGCGCGAAAGCGUGGGGGAGCAAACAGG
rnacentral:rRNA from 1 species